GAUGAACGCUGGCGGCGUGCCUAAUACAUGCAAGUCGAGCGAACAGAUGAGGAGCUUGCUCCUCUGACGUUAGCGGCGGACGGGUGAGUAACACGUGGAUAACCUACCUAUAAGACUGGGAUAACUUCGGGAAACCGGAGCUAAUACCGGAUAAUAUAUUGAACCGCAUGGUUCAAUAGUGAAAGACGGUUUUGCUGUCACUUAUAGAUGGAUCCGCGCCGCAUUAGCUAGUUGGUAAGGUAACGGCUUACCAAGGCAACGAUGCGUAGCCGACCUGAGAGGGUGAUCGGCCACACUGGAACUGAGACACGGUCCAGACUCCUACGGGAGGCAGCAGUAGGGAAUCUCCCGCAAUGGGCGAAAGCCUGACGGAGCAACGCCGCGUGAGUGAUGAAGGUCUUCGGAUCGUAAAACUCUGUUAUUAGGGAAGAACAAAUGUGUAAGUAACUAUGCACGUCUUGACGGUACCUAAUCAGAAAGCCACGGCUAACUACGUG
rnacentral:rRNA from 1 species